UGCAUUCAUGUGAGUGGCAGUGGCCUU
rnacentral:piRNA from 1 species